UGACCACUCAAGCCUAGCUUGGUAUUGGGGUUCGCGGUCUCGCGGCUCCUAAAAUCAGUGGCGGUGCCGUCUGGCUCUAAGCGUAGUAAUUCUCUCGCUAUGGAGUCCGGUCAGUUCCUUGCCAAAACCCCCCAACUUCUCAC
rnacentral:misc_RNA from 1 species